rnacentral:tRNA from 1 species
AGGGUUGUAGUUAAAUAUAACAUUUGAUUUGCACUCAAAAAGUACUAGUCAUUAGUCUUCCUUG